CAACGGAACAUGGGGCACAGUGUGUGAUGAUGAGUUUACAGACAUCAAUGCACAGGUGGCCUGCAGGAUGCUGGGCUUUAAUGGGUAGGUUUCUAAUGUUCUUAUUCUCUCUCAAAUAAAUAUCAAUUUUUAAUGUUCCAUUAGACAAAAUGGAUGUUUGUGGUGCCCUCGUGUGUGUUUGUGUGUGUGCAGCACAGGAGCCGUUGCUGUGCCCUCAGCCAUGUACGGACCGGGACAAGGGAAUAUUUUGCUUGACGAUGUUAUGUGUAAAGGAACAGAAACAAGCUUGGAGCAAUGUUCUCAUGCAGGAUACUACAAACACAAUUGUGUACAUCAAGAGGACAUCGGCGUUAUCUGCAAUAUCCCCGGACAGCUGACAGCCCGUUUAGUUAACGGGACCGGGUGGGCGGGUCGUCUGGAGAUUCUGUACAACGGAGAAUGGAGCACAGUGUGUGAUGACAGCUUUGAAAAUCCUGACGCACAGGUAGCCUGCAGAAUGCUUGGUUUCGCCAGCGCAAGUGCAUCGUAUGUGACCUCAAGCACCUAUGGGGCGGGUCAAGGCCGUAUUUUACUUGACGACGUUAACUGCCGGGGGACAGAGACAAGGUUAGAACAAUGUUCUCAUCGAGGGUUUUACCAGCACGACUGUAAACAUGUCGAGGACAUCGGAAUUAUUUGCAAUAAACGUAAGAAUGAUUUUAAAAAAAAUCAAUAUAAUUUAUUUAUGUGCCCAU